GCUAUUUGCCCAUCUGCAAGAGACCCCACGCCGGGAAACCUGUAGCAGAAUUGCCGAUAAAUUUUGCUCAUUUAGCAAUAGCAGACUACCUGUCGAGUGACAAGGUGAGAGAAUACCUUGAAAAAUGUCCCAAGCAUGGCCUGCCACUCGAUCUAUGGUGCGCAGAUUCAGAGAGAGAGCUUUGUACAAGGUGUUACUUCGAGGAAACAAACAGUCACACGAGCAGUUCAUAUGUAUUGAACAAACAAGGCAGAAGAUGGUCGAUAUUAUAGAAGGGAGGUCACUCAUUCUAAGCCAAGUCUACUUAGCCUUAAAGCAUUCCUUGAACAAUGGAUAAGGGGAAUAGUUGCCGGAACGUUUACACAAAGAGACUGAAUGAUAUUCUAAGAGGUGGAAAGCCAUUUUUAGGAAAGCUAGAAAAGCUCAAAAUGCUUUUGCCUCCCGCUGACAACGAGCCAGCCAACUCUGCCGACAAUAGGGAGGGAGAAGGCCAAGGUAAGACCACUUUUGUCUUGCCUUGAACACAGACGGCCGGAAAGCAAGACUGACCUGGGAGCAAGGAAGCCUUAAUCUUUACGCUCUAUCGGAUGAAUAUGUCGACGCUCGCAUCAUGGUAAAGAUGUCUGAUAUUCUUUUGAUGAUCCCACAAGAAAACCCAUGGUGUUCCUAGAAAGUAGCCAACGCAACCGGCAAACUGGGCCGCGUCUGCAUCAGAGUUUGGUCUAU